rnacentral:piRNA from 1 species
UCUCCAAGCAAAGCCAGCAUGACAGGCAGG